GAUCAUGGCUCAGGAUGAACGCUGGCGGCGUGCUUAACACAUGCAAGUCGAACGGAGUUUUUAAACGGAAGUUUUCGGAUGGAAGUUUAGAAACUUAGUGGCGGACGGGUGAGUAACGCGUGGGUAACCUGCCUCAUACAGGGGGAUAACAGUUAGAAAUGACUGCUAACACCGCAUAAUAUAGCGAAACCGCAUGAUUUUUGCUAUCAAAUAUUUAUAGGUAUGAGAUGGGCCCGCGUCUGAUUAGCUAGUUGGUGGGGUAAAAGCCUACCAAGGCGACGAUCAGUAGCCGGCUUGAGAGAGUGACCGGCCACAUUGGGACUGAGACACGGCCCAAACUCCUACGGGAGGCAGCAGUGGGGAAUAUUGGACAAUGGGGGAAACCCUGAUCCAGCGACGCCCGCGUGAGUGAAGAAGUAUUUCGGUAUGUAAAGCUCUAUCAGCAGGGAAGAUAAUGACAGUACCUGACUAAGAAGCCCCGGCUAACUACGUGCCAGCAGCUGC
rnacentral:rRNA from 1 species